rnacentral:rRNA from 1 species
UACGGAGGGGGCUAGCGUUGUUCGGAAUUAUUGGGAGUAAAGUGUACGUAGGCGGCUUUGUAAGUUAGAGGUGAAAGCCCGGGGCUCAACUCCGGAAUUGCCUUUAAGACUGCAUCGCUAGAAUUGUGGAGAGGUAAGUGGAAUUCCGAGUGUAGAGGUGAAAUUCGUAGAUAUUCGGAAGAACACCAGUGGCGAAGGCGACUUACUGGACACAUAUUGACGCUGAGGUGCGAAAGCGUGGGGAGCAAACAGG